rnacentral:rRNA from 1 species
GACGAACGCUGGCGGCGUGCCUAAUACAUGCAAGUAGAACGCACAGUUUAUACCGUAGCUUGCUACACCAUAAACUGUGAGUUGCGAACGGGUGAGUAACGCGUAGGUAACCUGCCUGGUAGCGGGGGAUAACUAUUGGAAACGAUAGCUAAUACCGCAUAAUAUUAAUUAUUGCAUGAUAAUUGAUUGAAAGAUGCAAUUGCAUCACUACCAGAUGGACCUGCGUUGUAUUAGCUAGUAGGUGAGGUAACGGCUCACCUAGGCAACGAUACAUAGCCGACCUGAGAGGGUGAUCGGCCACACUGGGACUGAGACACGGCCCAGACUCCUACGGGAGGCAGCAGUAGGGAAUCUUCGGCAAUGGACGAAAGUCUGACCGAGCAACGCCGCGUGAGUGAAGAAGGUUUUCGGAUCGUAAAGCUCUGUUGUAAGAGAAGAACGGGUGUGAGAGUGGAAAGUUCACACUGUGACGGUAUCUUACCAGAAAGGGACGGCUAACUACGUG